GUGUUCGCUUCAGCAGCACGUGUACUAAAAUUUGAAUAAUACAGGGAUUAGCAUCGCCCCUGCGCAAGGAUAACACGUAAAUUCAUGAAGCAUUCCAUAAUUUU
rfam:Canis lupus familiaris chromosome 37, whole genome shotgun sequence.